GAUGAACGCUGGCGGCGUGCUUAACACAUGCAAGUCGAACGGAAAGGCCCAAGCUUGCUUGGGUACUCGAGUGGCGAACGGGUGAGUAACACGUGGGUGAUCUGCCCUGCACUUCGGGAUAAGCCGGGGAAACUGGGUCUAAUACCGGAUAGGACCACUUCUUGGAUGUUGUGGUGGAAAGUUUUUCGGUGUGGGAUGAGCUCGCGGCCUAUCAGCUUGUUGGUGGGGUAAUGGCCUACCAAGGCGUCGACGGGUAGCCGGCCUGAGAGGGUGUACGGCCACAUUGGGACUGAGAUACGGCCCAGACUCCUACGGGAGGCAGCAGUGGGGAAUAUUGCACAAUGGGCGCAAGCCUGAUGCAGCGACGCCGCGUGGGGGAUGACGGCCUUCGGGUUGUAAGCUCCUUUCGCUAGGGACGAAGCUUAUUUUGUGACGGUACCUGGAGAAGAAGCACCGGCUAACUACGUG
rnacentral:rRNA from 1 species